rnacentral:rRNA from 1 species
AAGGAGUUUGAUCCUGGGCUCAGAUUGAACGCUGGCGGCAUGCCUAACACAUGCAAGUCGAACGGAAACGAUGGGAGCUUGCUCCCAGGCGUCGAGUGGCGGACGGGUGAGUAAUACUUAGGAAUCUACCCAGUAGCGGGGGACAACUCGAGGAAACUCGAGCUAAUACCGCAUACGCCCUACGGGGGAAAGCAGGGGAUCUUCGGACCUUGCACUAUUGGAUGAGCCUAAGUCGGAUUAGCUUGUUGGUGAGGUAAAGGCUCACCAAGGCGACGAUCCGUAGCUGGUCUGAGAGGACGAUCAGCCACACUGGGACUGAGACACGGCCCAGACUCCUACGGGAGGCAGCAGUGGGGAAUAUUGGACAAUGGGGGCAACCCUGAUCCAGCAAUGCCGCGUGUGUGAAGAAGGCCUGCGGGUUGUAAAGCACUUUCAGUAGAGAAGAAAAGCCCACGGCUAAUACCCGUGAGUCUUGACGUUACCUACAGAAGAAGCUCCGGCUAACUCCGUGCCAGCAGCCGCGGUAAUACGGAGGGAGCGAGCGUUAAUCGGAAUUACUGGGCGUAAAGCGCGCGUAGGCGGCUUUGUAAGUCGGAUGUGAAAGCCCUGGGCUCAACCUGGGAAUGGCAUUCGAUACUGCAGAGCUAGAGUAUGGUAGAGGGAAGUGGAAUUUCCGGUGUAGCGGUGAAAUGCGUAGAU